GAUGAACGCUGACAGAAUGCUUAACACAUGCAAGUCAACUUGAACUUCGGUUUGGGUGGCGGACGGGUGAGUAACGCGUAAAGAACUUGCCUCACAGUUAGGGACAACAUUUGGAAACGAAUGCUAAUACCUGAUAUUAUGAUUUUAGGGCAUCCUAGAAUUAUGAAAGCUAUAUGCGCUGUGAGAGAGCUUUGCGUCCCAUUAGCUAGUUGGAGAGGUAACGGCUCACCAAGGCGAUGAUGGGUAGCCGGCCUGAGAGGGUGAACGGCCACAAGGGGACUGAGACACGGCCCUUACUCCUACGGGAGGCAGCAGUGGGGAAUAUUGGACAAUGGACCAAGAGUCUGAUCCAGCAAUUCUGUGUGCACGAUGAAGUUUUUCGGAAUGUAAAGGGCUUUCAGUUGGGAAGAAAAAAAUGACGAUACCAACAGAAGAAGUGACGGCUAAAUACGUG
rnacentral:rRNA from 1 species